UUAGAUCUCAAGGACAAACUUUUACUGGUUAAUUUCAAAAUCCCAUUUGAAUCUUUCCCACCUAUGCUUGUUCAGUAAAUUCAUUUGAAUGGAUUUGAAAAUUUUAUUUCUUCAAAUUUUGUCGAUGCCUACAUGAUUACCUACUUGUAAAAUACCUAAACAACAGUUGCGAAUGUCGAUAACAACCUUGUGAAAAUUCAAAAAGUCAAACUACCUAAUUCCAAAGCUAAAUCUAUAGCAUCCCAAUGAAGCAAUAUAUUACACUAUGACAAAGAAAAAUUUACCUAGUACGAACGCAGUAAACAAAAAAAUUAUCAAUCAUAUUGUAAAUCAAAUAAUCUGGCGCGCAUUUUACACUUUAUACCAUUACCUCACGCAAAUUGAAUGUUUGCUUUAGCAGAUGUUAAAACAAAAUGAUCAUCAACACUCGUAUCCCGGUUAUCAUUUUUUUUGAAAAAUGGCUGCAAUGAAGGUAGAAAAACAACUUUUCAAAUUAAAUAAAAGAGAGCUUAACUGAAAACACUAUCGUAGUCAAAAUUGUAUCCUACCAAGACAGGGUGAUCAUUCGUUGCCCACCUCCGUGAAACUCAAAUUUGAUUCGGUUUUCUCAGGUGUGUUUGAAAUGGCAGUGAAAUUAUCAGUUUAUUUUUGAUGUUUUCGUACCUUUUUGUUAGUGUAAUGACAAAACAAUACUUUGAUAUACCAGAAGACGAUUAUCCUGAUAAUAUGAAGGGGGAAGAUGUUUCAGCGAGCUGUGGAGAUGCCAAAGCUCUGGAAGAAACAUGCAUGAAAAUUGGUAAAGCGUGCGGACUCACGGACGGAACAAAACCUUCUGCACCAGGUUUUCCAAAAUGUCAUGAUUCAAAGAUUCAGUUACAGAAAAAGGAUGGCUCAGGAAUAGUUUUAAAAAAGGCUAAAUUCGUCCAUUGUUCAUGGCAGGGUGUGUGUGGUGUGUAUUACUUUGGGAAAGGUAAAAAUUCAGGUAAGAUUCUGAACGUGGAUUGUAACCCUGCCAGUUGUCUUCCUUACCUUGAAUAUUCGUACCCUUGUAGCUAAUUUUUAGUUCAAGAUAUUCUAGAAAUUACUUAGUUUUAGUUCAUUUUUCACAAAAGUAUCAAUACUUACCUAAUAAUAAAAUUUUAUGAUUGCUGA